AUACUUACCUGGCAGGGGAAGUGCCACGAUCACGAAGGUGGCUUUUCCCAGGGCGAGGCCUAGCCAUUGCACUCUGGUUAUGCUGACCCCUGCGGUUUUCCCGUAAGUGGGGAACCCGACUGCAUCAUUUGUGGUAGUGGGGAACUGAGUUCACGCUCUCCCCUG